rnacentral:rRNA from 1 species
UAUCGGAACGUAUCCAAUAAUGGGGGAUAACUAAUCGAAAGGUUAGCUAAUACCGCAUACGCCCUACGGGGGAAAGCAGGGGAUCUUCGGACCUUGCGUUAAUGGAGCGGCUGAUAUCUGAUUAGCUAGUAGGUGAGGUAAAGGCUCACCUAGGCUUCGAUCAGUAGCUGGUCUGAGAGGACGACCAGCCACACUGGAACUGAGACACGGUCCAGACUCCUACGGGAGGCAGCAGUGGGGAAUUUUGGACAAUGGGCGCAAGCCUGAUCCAGCCAUUCCGCGUGAGUGAAGAAGGCCUUCGGGUUGUAAAGCUCUUUCGCAAGGGAAGAAACGAUACAGUCGAAUAAACUGUGUUAAUGACGGUACCUUGAUAAGAAGCACCGGCUAACUACGUGCCAGCAGCCGCGGUAAUACGUAGGGUGCGAGCGUUAAUCGGAAUUACUGGGCGUAAAGCGUGCGCAGGCGGUUUUGAAAGUCAGAUGUGAAAUCCCCGGGCUCAACCUGGGAACUGCGUUUGAAACUCCAAAGCUAGAGUAUAGGAGAGGGGGGGUAGAAUUCCACGUGUAGCAGUGAAAUGCGUAGAGAUGUGGAGGAAUACCAAUGGCGAAGGCAGCCCCCUGGCUUAAUACUGACGCUCAUGCACGAAAGCGUGGGGAGCAAACAGGAUUAGAUACCCUGGUAGUCCACGCCCUAAACGAUGUCUACUAGUUGUUGGGAGAGUAAAAUCUCUUAGUAACGCAGCUAACGCGUGAAGUAGACCGCCUGGGGAGUACGGUCGCAAGAUUAAAACUCAAAGGAAU